GGAUCUCCCUUAGUAACGGCGAGUGAAGCGGCAGAAGCUCAAAUUUGAAAUCUGGCACCUACGGUGUCCGAGUUGUAAUUUGAAGAGGCAACUUUGGGAGGGUCCCGGUCUAUGUUCCUUGGAACAGGACAUCGCAGAGGGUGAGAAUCCCGUUCUCGGUCGGAUGUGCCCUCCCUUACAAAGUGUCUUCUACGAGUCGAGUUGUUUGGGAAUGCAGCUCAAAAUGGGUGGUAAAUUUCAUCUAAAGCUAAACAUUGGCGAGAGACCGAUAGCGCACAAGUAGAGUGAUCGAAAGAUGAAAAGCACUUUGAAAAUAGAGUCAAAAAGUACGUGAAAUUGUUGAAAGGGAAGCGCUUGAGACCAGACUCAGCGGUAGACAAACAGCUGCCCUUCUGGGUAGUGCACUUGUCUGCCGGUGGGCCAGCAUCGGUUGGGGUGGUGGGAUAAAGGCUAGGGCAAUGUGACUCCUCUGAGGAGUGUUAUAGGCCCGAGUGCAAUGCUGCCCGCCCCGACCGUGGACCGCGCUUCCGCUAGGAUGCUGGCGUAAUGGUCUUCA
rnacentral:rRNA from 1 species